AACGAACGCUGGCGGCAUGCCUAACACAUGCAAGUCGAACGAGACCUUCGGGUCUAGUGGCGCACGGGUGCGUAACGCGUGGGAACCUGCACUUAGGUUCGGAAUAACUCCCCGAAAGGGGUGCUAAUACCGGAUAAUGUCUUCGGACCAAAGAUUUAUCGCCUUUGGAUGGGCCCGCGUUGGAUUAGCUAGUUGGUAGGGUAAAAGCCUACCAAGGCGACGAUCCAUAGCUGGUCUGAGAGGAUGAUCAGCCACACUGGGACUGAGACACGGCCCAGACUCCUACGGGAGGCAGCAGUGGGUAAUAUUGGGCAAUGGGCGAAAGCCUGAUCCAGCAAUGCCGCGUGAGUGAUGAAGGCCUUAGGGUUGUAAAGCUCUUUUACCCGGGAUGAUAAUGACAGUACCGGGAGAAUAAGCUCCGGCUAACUCCGUG
rnacentral:rRNA from 1 species